CUAAAACGAAUCCUUCAAAUAGACACAGAUGAGUCAAAAGUUCAAACACACUGUAAAUCACUGUAGUCAUACAGUACGAGUAUAAAGUUGAAUGUAAAGCACCUGGAAUCAUUGAUGAGAAAUCUAGAGAUCUCUGACUUCUGAUGCAGACCUGAGCACACUUUGAGAUUGUUUUCCGAAGGAAAGCUUCGACACCGAGAAGUAAGACUUCACCUGCUUUUCUUUAACACACAACAGCUCUGAACAGAGUUUGGACAAUUAAUCACACUUACAGAUUUUAGAUCCAACACACCUGUCUGUAAGUUACAAAUAAACCCUUAAUUAGUCACUUUAAGAGCGUUUAAUUAGAAUCUGCAGAACUAGGAAGGAAGAACUAGAUGACAAAAUAUCAAUGUAAAAAAGAUAUUUGAGUGACACUUUACAUUAAGGAUCCAUUAGUUAAUUACAUUAGCUAACAAAAAAAUAAUAAUCACAUAAAAUGUUAAUUUCCAAAUUUAUAAAAAAUCAUAUUUGUACAUAUUUAAUCAGCUUGAACUUGCGAUAUAUAAAUAAAUAAUUCUAAAACACUUUUUAUUAAUCUUAGUGCAUUGUAAUAUCAACAUUUACUAAUAUAUUAAUCAAAUUAAAAGAUGAUGGAGUGAAUGUUCAGGUUUCUGAGAAUGCAUUUAUUUAUUAAAAAAAUACAGUUUAAUAGUAAAUAUUAUUCUAAUGUAAAACGGCUGUUUUCUGUGUGAAUCUCUGUUAAAGUGUAAUUUAUUUAUGUGAUGUACAGCUGGAUUUCCAGCAUUACUCUGUCCAAGGCAGAAAUACGUCACAAGUUCUUUAUUAUAGAUCAGUGGUUGCAACUUAUCUCAUUAUUAUGAUUUGGUAAAUAAAUGUAAAUUUUUUAUGUCAUAUGACUUUUUAUCUCAUAUUUCUGACUCCAAUGACUGAUCUCAUAAUUAAGUUUUAUUAAAGCAUGAAUUGUUUCUUAUGUGGCGGAAUGGGCUUCCAUAACAACUGAAAUACAGCUACUGGUCACACACACCCGUAUUUAACACUUGCUAACCUCUGACCCCUCCGUGUGCAACUGAGCAAACAGUGCACGACAAACAACGGAGCGUAAUCAAUGUGCAUCGACCUGUCUAAAGCAGAGAAAUACUGGGACGACUGGUUCAGAGGGACAUCGAACCUCUUUCUGUCCUGCAAUGUCCCAAAACUCCUUCUGCUGGCAGACAAGAGACACGGACCAUCAGACACUCACCCGAAACACAUGAAAACUGCUCAGUUCUGUCCGUUUAAUGUGAAAGGUGUCCUGUGUUCAGGCAUUGAUCGACUGGACAGAGAGCUGACCACUGGACAGAUGCAGGGUGCUGCCUCCUUGUGGACAUGCAGUGCAUGAAGUGGCAGAUGCUUUGGCAAGUUUUAUGAUCAGGCACAAAUUUGCAGAAGCUCGCAGUGAAGCUAAAAGAUGAAGCAGAAGACACCUCGACCGGAUCCAACAUCCUCCACAUCCAGAAAAACAUCGGACUUAAAUCCAGGAAUUGUUUCAACUGUCACUGUCCUGAGUUCAGAAUAAAGAUCUGAAUGUUCUUUA